rnacentral:rRNA from 1 species
UACGGGGGGGGCAAGCGUUGUUCGGAAUUACUGGGCGUAAAGGGUUCGUAGGUGGCCAAUUAAGUCAGACGUGAAAUCCCUCAGCUUAACUGGGGAACUGCGUCUGAGACUGGAUGGCUUGAGUGCAGGAGAGGAACGCGGAAUUCCAGGUGUAGCGGUGAAGUGCGUAGAUAUCUGGAGGAACACCGGUGGCGAAGGCGGCGACCUGGUCCGUGACUGACGCUGAGGCGCGAAAGCCAGGGGAGCGAACGGG